CGUGUUUGGUGAUAAGCGUGCGAAAAAAGAGACUCCAAAUAAACCUUAUCACACGGCUGGAAGACAACUGAUACAGAAACAGACGGGAAACAAAGUUAACCCAUUCUCGUACCGUCCUCAUCAUGGCAUGUGUGUGGACUUCACUGAGGCUCACCAAAUUCAGAUGUGGUCACCUGCAGGACGUUCCCCUGAGGACCACGUAUGUAACAGAUUGGAAAGUGUUUUCUGCUCGAAUGCAUGGAACGAAUCAUGAGAAAAGAGGAGAACAAUCUCAGGAGGAGCUUAUGGAGACGGUACCAGUUCUUUAUAUGUCUGUGUUUUUGCACUCGUAUAUUUGACAGAAAAAGGGGGGUUGACGCUCAGUAUAACAUAGCAGUUUGGAAAAAUUAGUUGAAAGGCUUAUCCGUGAAGAGUCCAUUUAUUUUCAGAUUUUUUUCACAAUUGUGAAUGAUGUCUCAUGGCCAGACGGGAUGACAACACUUGAUCUCUUUUGUACAAAAAGAGAAAGAAGAAGGAAAAGUGCAGGGACUUGUGAUCACUGUUGCUGUUUUCGAUGCUUGUAUCUAAUGUGUAACACAUUCAGGAUUGUUCCACACGCUGAUCUCUUAAGUGCAUUUCAUUUACAAAAUUUUCACUUUUAGUG